rnacentral:rRNA from 1 species
ACGUAGGGGGCGAGCGUUGUCCGGAAUUACUGGGCGUAAAGGGUGCGUAGGCGGUCUACUAAGUUUGAUGUGAAAGCCCCGGGCUUAACUUGGGGAGUGCAUUGGAAACUGGGAAACUUGAGUGCAGAAGAGGACAGUGGAACUCCAUGUGUAGCGGUGAAAUGCGUAGAUAUAUGGAAGAACACCAGUGGCGAAGGCGGCUGUCUGGUCUGUAACUGACGCUGAGGCUCGAAAGCAUGGGUAGCAAACAG